GUGGGGAAUAUUGGGCAAUGGGGGAAACCCUGACCCAGCGACGCCGCGUGAGGGAAGACGGCCUUCGGGUUGUAAACCUCUUUUGUACGGGAAGAAGGAAGUGACGGUACUGUACGAAUAAGUCCCGGCUAACUACGUGCCAGCAGCCGCGGUAAUACGUAGGGGACGAGCGUUGUCCGGAAUUACUGGGCGUAAAGGGCGCGCAGGCUGUGCUGCAAGUCAGCUGUGAAAUGUCUGGGCUUAACCCGGGCAUGGGGUUGAGACUGCAGUGCUGGAGUGCUGUAGAGGCAAGUGGAAUUCCCAGUGUAGCGGUGAAAUGCGUAGAUAUUGGGAAGAACACCGGUGGCGAAGGCGACUUUCUGGACUGUAACUGACGCUGAGGCUCGAAAGCCAGGGGAGCGAACGGGAUUAGAAACCCGGGUAGUCC
rnacentral:rRNA from 1 species